rnacentral:rRNA from 1 species
CCUACGGGUGGCAGCAGUGGGGAAUAUUGGACAAUGGGCGAAAGCCUGAUCCAGCCAUGCCGCGUGUGUGAAGAAGGCCUUCGGGUUAUAAAGCACUUUCAGUGGGGAAGAAAGCCUUGGGGCUAAUACCCUCGAGGAAGGACAUCACCCACAGAAGAAGCACCGGCUAACUCCGUGCCAGCAGCCGCGGUAAUACGGAGGGUGCGAGCGUUAAUCGGAAUUACUGGGCGUAAAGCGCGCGUAGGCGGUCUGAUAAGCCGGUUGUGAAAGCCCCGGGCUCAACCUGGGAACGGCAUCCGGAACUGUCAGGCUAGAGUGCAGGAGAGGAGGGUAGAAUUCCCGGUGUAGCGGUGAAAUGCGUAGAGAUCGGGAGGAAUACCAGUGGCGAAGGCGGCCUUCUGGACUGACACUGACGCUGAGGUGCGAAAGCGUGGGUAGCAAACAGGAUUAGAUACCCCAGUAGUC